rnacentral:misc_RNA from 1 species
AAAAAAUCCAUAUAGCUAUUACAGACUUUUUGGGAUGUAAAUAUCAAACAAACUUGAUCAAUUUUUGUAAAAAUAAAAUUACAGGGAAAAGCAUGACAAUCAUAAUAACCUCCCUUACAAGCUUCAAGGGUGAAUCAAUCAAUAAGAAUUACCAUAUCAGAACCAAAAGCAAUCGAGGAUACUCCCUAAAACCUGCCUCCAUGCUUUUGCCACUUAAUAUAUAAAUAUUUUAGAAUUAAAUAAGAUUAUGAUAUUAUGAGUUAAUAAACAUUAUAAAAAGUGAAGGAAAAAAAAAAAAAGUGGGGUUGGAGUAUACGAGAUGUGUGUUUGUUGGUUGCUUGCUUUGUCCACAAAAGUAGUGUUUUCCUCAUUCUUGGACAGUUAGAAAAUACAAAGACUCCUUUUUGUUGGCGGGGUUAGUUUCUUUUCUGGUUAUUCCCUCCAAGUCCUGGAGAAUAUAUUCUUGAGCUUAUUCCCGGCAAGUCUCUGCACAGCCUUCUUAGCUCCGGCUACCUCCAUCUCCUCCAGCCUUUGCAAAUGCUGAUAAGCUCCGGCAUCCAAAAGUCUCUUCCUACACUCGCCACUUCCUCCAGUCAAUACGGCGACGACCACCAUCACCGGAAACCUCUUGGAAACCAGUUCACGUUUUGGAUCCAGCAUCUGGACUAAUUUCAUCACACUUUUUUCAUCCCUCACCAAUUCUUUCCUAUUCGACCGGACCGUCAAUAACGACACUAGCGCAGCUGUUGCUGCCUCUUGUAUACCCGCAGGCUUUGGCACCUCCAUUAGCUUCACCAGUGAAGCUACACAGCCAGAAAUUGCUCGCUUGUUCCCAUCGCUAAUUGAGAGACUAGCAAGCAAUGAUACCGAGAUUUGUUGCAAGAUUAGGCUGCCCUCUUUGGUGAAUUCGCUAAGGCGGGUAAUGAAUAAGGUCGACGAUGAUAGAAUCCGAGCCGUGGAAUCCGAGACUGAGAGAGAGCUGAUUGCUCGCAUAACGUGUUCUAUUGUAUCUGAACUUGGCAUACUUUGUAUCACGUCCAUUAGUCUCUGCAAACCCUUUUCUUGGAUUAUCAGCAUGCGAAAAUACUCGCCGGAAGAAGCCAGUAUUGCCAUACAAUGAGCUGCCUUUUCUUGAGCAGCACUGGCACCCGAAACAAGCAAAUGAACUAGAACUGGCACAGCACCUUCCUCUGCUAGUGCCAUCUUGAUAUCCUCCACCACCGCGACGUUCCUAAUAGCACCCACAGCAUAUGUCUGUGUCGCCUCCGAUCCAGAUCGACACGCUUCAAUCAACAGUGAAACGCCUCCGUAAGCCGAAAUCGCCCACCCAUUCUCUGGUUCCGCGGUGAUUACCUCAAUCGCAAUCGCAGCCUUUUCUUUUAAAAGCAUAGACCCAGUAUCCAGGAUUCUCAACAAAGGCCCCAAUCCUCCUUCUUCAAAUACAGUUUUUCUAGCUUCAUCGCUUCCAGAAGCCAGAAUCGACACGGCCAAGACUGCUUGCUCUUGAAUCGAACGUUCAUUGUGAGAAUCGAGUAAACUAAUCAAACACCCAACACUUCCCUCUUCAGCGACUAAACUGGCAGAUUUCUCAUCGUCGUUUAGAAUCUGAAUAAGCGAAUCUAACGCUUUCUUUUUAAACUCCACGCCUCCGAUUUGCAAUCUGGUAAAAAGAUCCCGCACAAAAAAGGCUAAUUCCUCUUUGUCCGAACUGGGGCCAGGGUGCGAGAGAACUAUAGCAUUUGAUUGAUGGAGGACUCCAGACUUGAGAAGUAAAUCGAGGUCAUGGAGGUGAUUGGAAAGGGAAGAGGAAGCGAUGUCGAGGUCGCUCUGAAACAGGAGCUUACCGCCAGGGAAGGAGGAGAGAGUGCACUGGUGAGAAAGAGAUUGGAGGCGUUGUAGGGUCGAUAAGAGGGAAGGGAGGAGAGUAUGAAGAAGAGGGUUUUGAGACCAGUGAGGGGAAUCAGAGAGUAAAGAAAGUGAGGAUUGAAGAGAGGUGAGUUUAGUACGGAUGACUUGCCACCGUCCGAUGAAGGAUCUGACGGUGAGGGAGGAGACAAGGAGGAGGGAGAGAACGCUUGUGAUUAGGUCAAGGAACGUUUGCGGUGGUUUGUCCGGUGACGGAGGGGGCGGUGGUCGCGAUGGUUGGGCAGUGAUGGUGGGCGUGGAAGGAUGCAUUUAGGAACUAGAGCCAAGGUUGGGAUGAAGCAAGUGCUGAAGACAUGAAAGAGGAAAAGGCAGAAAAGGGAGGGAGGGAGGGAAAGAUGGAGGGAGGGCAGUGGAGGAGAAGCUAAAAUGUAGAGAGAGAGAGAGAGAGAGAGAGA